AAAAUUUCCCGAUAGCAUUUUGCAAUCUUUUCUAGCAAAAGUUCCAAUACUAGAACACGAUGCUCCACCUCCUCAUCCCCUGUCAAUGAAGCCUCUGCCACCUCCAUCAAGAUCUCCGUCACCACACACUGCCAGUAUGCUCCGUCCACACACCACACACCACACACCACACACCACACAUCACCAAUAGCUCCGACCACCUACCACCAGUAGGUCCGACCACACACCACCAGUACGCAACCACAAUCACCACCAAUCGACCACCAGUGCUCCGACCAGAAACCAACUUCUCCACUACUCUGACAACCACUUCGAUUUUAGCUCUCAAUUUGCAGUUCAAUUUCCAAGCAAAUUUGCGGUUUUCUUUUGUAAUUCGGUGAUUUUAAGGUUAAUGUAUUCUUCUAAUUUAUUGAUUCAGAGUGCUAUGUUUCCUUAAGUUCAGAUGAGGAAUUAGACCCUGAAGAGCUUGAAAAUAUUCUUGCUAAACUUUAGGAGGCUGUGAAAUAUGAUGUUAGGCAGGUGUCUAUUUGGAACGCUCUUGGCACCAUACUUCUUAGAAUUGGUCAUUUGUAGGUGCAACCAUCUUAAUAUAUUUAUUCGAACUCAUUGACAUACUUGGAACUUUCUCUGAUUAUAUUUUGACGCUUAUGGUUUCUGUAGAGUGCUAUAUCAGUCUUCUCAACUUUGUUGGACAUUUCCCCAGAAAACUUGGAUUGCCUUGGUAAUCUUGGAAUUGCUUGUCUCUAGAGGUAUAAAGGGACAUUCAUUCUUACUGAUUUUAGGCUACUUACUGUACUAUUUACAACUUAUAUUAAUGUCAUCGUUUCAAUAUUCUUGUGUUUGAUCAAAUUAGACUAAUGAAAAAUAGAUUGAUGUAGAAGCUAAAAGCAAUUGGAGAGGUGGAGAAGCACUUUGUACUUACGUGUUGGGAAAGGACGAAGAGAAAUAAUAUCAUGAUGAACUGAUGUUUCUAUUGAUGUUGCAUCCGGGAAGAAAAAAAUAAAACUUAUGUGUGAAUCACUUGCCGAGAGAUUAGUUUGUUUUUGGCUGAAAAACUGUUGAUGCAUCAUUAUGUUGUGCAACAUAUGGACUUUGCUAUUAGUUGGAAUUGAGUGUCUAUUGGAAAAAAUUCACUUAUAAGCCUCUUUUAUUCAUGAAAAACUAAGUUAUACUGUUCCUUUUAGUGAUGUGUAAGUCUCUGUUACUUCCUUAUUAAUUGUGAAACUUAUUGUUUUCCUUUCUUUUUUAGUUUGAAUUAAAAUCCUCUUAGGGAAACUCAAGUGGUAAAAAUCCUAUGGGUUACACAAAUAAUCACAAAACGGUGAACAAGCAUGUAUAUUUCACUGGAUUUAUCUUUUCCUUUUAAGUCCUGCACAUUUGAUCAUAUCUACUGAUGAUUCAACUUAGCCGCUGGAACUUCUCCCUUUUAUUAGAUACAGUGGAGAAAUGCUAGUAUGCUAGUUUAAGGAAAUUUCUUACUGUUACAAGUAGAGAUCUACAAGGAGAAAGUAAGGUUUGUGUCGCUUGCAAUUGUAACUGACGAGAUCUAUUGAUCCAUAUCUAUUUCUAUCAGUCAAUGUCUCUUUAUCCAUAAGUAUGCCUUUUAAGUUAUCAAUUGAAGGACAAUAUAAAAAUAAAAGGGAGUAAACUACAUGGGAUUAUUCUGAAUAGAGCAACAAAAGUAAGUCAUCAACACUCUUUN
rnacentral:lncRNA from 1 species